rnacentral:rRNA from 1 species
UGGGGAAUUUUGGACAAUGGGCGAAAGCCUGAUCCAGCAAUGCCGCGUGUGUGAAGAAGGCCUUCGGGUUGUAAAGCACUUUUGUCCGGAAAGAAAUCCUUGGCUCUAAUACAGUCGGGGGAUGACGGUACCGGAAGAAUAAGCACCGGCUAACUACGUGCCAGCAGCCGCGGUAAUACGUAGGGUGCAAGCGUUAAUCGGAAUUACUGGGCGUAAAGCGUGCGCAGGCGGUUUGCUAAGACCGAUGUGAAAUCCCCGGGCUCAACCUGGGAACUGCAUUGGUGACUGGCAGGCUAGAGUAUGGCAGAGGGGGGUAGAAUUCCACGUGUAGUAGUGAAAUGCGUAGAGAUGUGGAGGAAUACCGAUGGCGAAGGCAGCCCCCUGGGCCAAUACUGACGCUCAUGCACGAAAGCGUGGGGAGCAAACAGGAUUAGAUACCCUGGUAGUCCACGCCCUAAACGAUGUCAACUAGUUGUUGGGGAUUCAUUUCCUUAGUAACGUAGCUAACGCGUGAAGUUGACCGCCUGGGGAGUACGGUCGCAAGAUUAAAACUUAAAUGAAUUGACGGGGUCAUAGCUGUUUCCU